UACGGGGGGGGCAAGCGUUGUUCGGAUUUACUGGGCGUAAAGGGCGCGUAGGCGGCCUUCUAAGUCAGACGUGAAAUCCCUCGGCUCAACCGAGGAACUGCGUCUGAUACUGGAAGGCUUGAAUCCGGGAGAGGGAUGUGGAAUUCCAGGUGUAGCGGUGAAAUGCGUAGAUAUCUGGAGGAACACCGGUGGCGAAGGCGGCGACCUGGGUCGACACUGACGCUGAGGCGCGAAAGCGUGGGGAGCAAACAGG
rnacentral:rRNA from 1 species